CCCUUAGAUGUUCUGGGCCGCACGCGCGCUACACUGAUGCAUUCAACGAGCCUAUCCUUGACCGACAGGUCCGGGUAAUCUUUGAAUCUGCAUCGUGACGGGGAUAGAUUAUUGCAAUUAUUAAUCUUCAACGAGGAAUGCCUAGUAGGCGCAAGUCAUCAGCUUGCGUCGAUUACGUCCCUGCCCUUUGUACACACCGCCCGUCGCUCCUACCGAUUGGAUGGUUUAGCGAGAACUUUGGACCGGAGCUCGGGUGGUCAGCAAUGGUCGCCCGAGAUGUCUGGGAAAUCGUUCCAGCUUGAUCAUCUAGAGGAAGUAAAAGUCGUAACA
rnacentral:rRNA from 1 species